AUCCUCCAACUGCUAAUUCCUAAUGUGAAAAUAUAAUCAAUUAUAUAUCAAUUAGUUAUGUUCUCCGAUCUCAGUACUCUGGAGAGGGUGAGCAAGUAGUGAUAAAGAAAAGCCAAUAUGUCACCUAACCCUGGAAAGGUGUCUUAAGCAUAUCAAAUGUGGAUUUAGACAUCAUCACAACGAAGUUAAAGGCGGAAAAUGACCAAAAUCAGAUUCACAAAGAUUCACUAUUUUGCUGUCGACCUCCGCGUACUUUUACUGACUGACUGUUUGAAUCUGUGCUUCCGCCCAUAUUGGAGCUGCGUACAGCGCUGUUGCCCUGCAGACGGACUGUAAGAUGUAGCGCUUGUGGCAAGACGAAUCGGGCGGCAGGCCAGAAAGGCGGUGGCUCCAUCUACAUGUCGUUCCCGCGUCGAAACAAGGGGCAGACGAAGAAAGUCGGGGGAGAGCUUUAGCAUAGGAAGAGGCAACAUAGGCAGCUGUCAAAUUUCGGCAAAUACCGUAGGUUUGGCUGGAGAGAGCGGAGAUAGCUUCCCAGCUAGAUCAACUCGACGCCAGCUUUCUUUUCCAAUUUGGCUGUCCACAAGGUUAGUUCAAAGUUAAACGGAACCAGGAGCAGGCAUAUACGGGAAAACUGGCGAAAGAAUCUUAUAAAGGAAUACAUCUACAGGCAGCGCUGAAUCCAGUUUCAGGGUUUGGCGCUAAAUAUAUAGCGCAAGUGCGAGCCAAACGGACGGCUUAACAUCGAGCCAGGUGGCAGACAUUUUCCUCGGAGAACGACGGAUUGCUCAGCUCAGGGAGAAACGAAACGGCGGCUCGAAACUCCCGUAGCGAGGAGCUGCAUUUAGCUGAUUACUAAUUAAUAACCUUUGAAUUAGGCCUCUGAAUGGCAGAAAAGGGUUGCAAGCAGGCAUAGAUACGUCCCAAUUAGGAAUCGCGGCAGCACACAAUUUCUUUUCCAUUUCGGCGGACUCUUAUUUUUGGUUAAUUACUCUUAGAGAGCCAUCGAUGACGUAGAAAUCUCCACGUUCCAUUUUGUCGCCAUGUUCCCCUUGCGCACUUAAAGAAGGGAACGAGAAGAGGAGGAACGAAAAGGAGAGGGGAGAAUAACCAAGUCCAGCAGUUGCAAUCGCGGUUUCUUGUUCGGCGGGCGAGCAAAAGUUUUGUCGCGCGGUCUGGCCGUAAUUUGGUGAAUCCGACCAGAGGAAAAUCCGCUGAUCGACGGCGCGGGAAAAACCCCCUUAGUGAGCGAGAAGGCCGGAAAAUAGUGGAGAGAUUUUUUUUUGUAUAGUGGAAUAAGUUAUUAUGUAAAUGAAAAGUGGCAGUGCGAAGGAGAGAGGGAAAGAUAAGGAAGAGAGUCCAUCAUUUUUUUUAGUGUCCCUUAUGUGCUCCGUCUUCUUCUUCCUUUUUUUGUUUCUUUUGUUCAGUUUUAGCAAGCCUAUGAUUAAGCAAUAAGGCACAGUGGGUCAAAGACCAAUACAGAGAGUGAAAAAAUAUUUAAGUUUCCCACAGGUGCGGCAGACUCCAACGGAAGCGCUUUCGUCGGUGGAACUCCGGAUUGUUGGUGAGUGAUUAAAUCACGUAAUUGCAAUGGCAAUGAUCAAUGAGGUAUACAUAAUUUGGUGAAAAAGAAAGAAAGUAAUUACGUCUGAAUUUUCGAUUCCUUGUCCCACUGUCCGCCGCGAGCGAAAUUAGGUCGAAGUUUUAGAGCCUCUGAAGAAAAGGAAGAGGAGGAAUGCGAAUUCAAGGGCAAGGCCAAGAGUGGAAUGUCGGAAUUAGAAUCUGAUUUUUUUCUGUUUGUCCGUCUCUCUUUAACUCUCGCACAUAUGUAUGUUGUUUUUGCCACCAGAGCAGCAAUCGCUCUCUUUAUUUGAUUUGUUUAAUUUUAAUAUUCUUAAGUUCCAUUUGGGUGCCUAUGGCACACUCGAAAUUAGUGGAGAUCUAAAUAUCGAAAUUUUUUCUAUUAUUCGACUCGCAUACAAUUCUGAUAGUUAUUUAAGGUCCCACAUCUUUUCUCGCAUGCGAUUUUUACUCAUUUUUGUUUACGUUUUGUUACUGGCGCAUGCACUUGUUGCUAGCCUCCAUGCUGAAUUACCCAUUUGUUAGCUGUAAGAAAAUUCUCUUAGUGUGUUACGAAUAAAAUUUAUAAUGUGCUAGAAAGCUUUUCGUUUGCCUAUGGCUAGGAUAACUCCCGUGUGAAUAUGUGUUAGUGAUCUUAAAAGGGGCCGUCCGAGUAUAUUGUGCAAUGCAGAUUUUUGGAGAAAGGCGGCCAAGGCAGGGCGGGCAUUAGCGACCUCGAGGCCAUCAGAGGAUCGCAAGGAAGAUGGGGAAAAGUAGUUGUCGUCCGAUUUUCUGUUUUAUGUUGAACUCUUUCAGCCCUCAACCAAUUCUUGUCGCUGCACGCGAAGUUAUUUGAAUAUUUAGAGGAAGAUCAGGCUGAGGUAUAGGGACAAGACCACCACCCCAAAUAGCCGACAAGGAGCAGCUGGACCAUUGCGCGUGCGUCCCAAAUACCUCCCAUCACCACCCAAGCCGAGUAGCAAUCCGUUACAAAGAGUAGUCUACGUCCCUGCCCCUGUUGAGCAUUAUUCACGCUAGAGCCCUAGCGACGCUCGACGCCUUCCUGUUCGCUUCCGCCAGAUGCUUCUUGAACGUUAGCCGACGUGACCGUGGUGUCUCCGACUCGGAUGGUGGCUGUCUAUAUCUAUUAGAGGGAUGCAUAACACCAUUCUCUUUGAUUGCAUUUAGAGUACUCAUUCGUUUUAGUAUGUAUUCAGAAUACAUACCAUUCAGUUGUCGCGAUCUCUUUGCGUUCACUUCGUAUGCGUUCGGAGUUUUGGGUACCCGAGCGAAAUGAACUGAAUGAAUGCGCGCGAAAACUAAAUGAAGCCAAUGAAUUUUCAUUAGAAAUUCAGAGUACUCUGAAUACUUUAUGUUGUCAUUGUGUAAAAUGAGUUCGGACAGCGCGGAGGUAAGUCUAAGUUUUCUGUGUUUGUGUAUUAUUAUGUGCGUGUGCGUCUUAUUUAAUAAUAUUGUAGCAUUUGUCUAAUACGAAUAUAUAAAUUGUGUUGUCAAAUAUAAAUAUUUAAAAAAGAAUAGUAAAAAAAAAUAAUAAAAUCGUUUAUAUAGCUAACGUCAGGCGACGCAUCGUUUAUCGAGGAGUCGGCGACUGAAAUAAAACAGAAAUUGGAGAACGGUGUAUAUUCGUUAAAGGGGAAAAGAGGUCGUAGCAAAGUCUGGGAAUAUUUUUUUCAAGUAAACGAUGAAGAUGGAAAUCAGAUAAAAGAUUUUGUGGCCUGCAAGAUCUGUAAAAGUGUUUAUAAAUUUUCCGGCAACACCUCGAAUUUAGUUAAACAUAAGUGUUAUAUUAUAAGCUGUCGAAAUAACCAUGUCCUAACCAAUGUCAAUUCUGAAACAAAAAAGGAAGCCACCGCAAUUGCUACGAAGUGGAUAGUAAGGAAUUGUCGGCCAUUUAAAAUGAUUGGCGAUACUGGCCUCAAAGAAUUUGCCACGUUCUUGAUCGGCGUGGGAGCAACGUACGGUGCUAACGUAGAUGUCGACAAUCUUUUGCCCCAUUCGACAACAAUUUCAAGGAACGUGGCAUCUUUAUAUGAAGAGCGCUUUGGAAAGUUCAAGCGGUUUGGCUAUGCAGUCACCAGUGACGUAUGGACAGACAAUCAUUUAAGAUUGUCGUAUCUGUCCUGUACCAUUCAUUAUAUAAAAGAGGGCGUUUUGGUAAACCGACUUUUAGCAGUAAAGUGUAUGAAAGGAGAAUCCUGCACAGGUAAUUGAAUUUAACUAUAAAUUGAAUGACAAAAUGAUUAAUGCUAGUUAUUUAAUUAUUUUUUAGGUGUAAAUAUUCGUACCAAACUCAUGGAUAUAUUACAAAAUUUUGGGUGCAACCUUGAUGAGGACCUGCCUGUGAUUGUUACGGAUAGAGGUUCUAACAUGAUUGCGGCUUUCCAAAAUUACGAUCAUAUUCACUGCGUCAAUCAUUUAUUGCACAACAUUGUAGAGGCAACGGUUAAACAUAUUACAGAAUUCUUUAAACUGGUUGAUAAUUGCAGUAAGUUAGUCAAGUUUUUUAAGAAGUCAGGCUCAAAUUUUUUUUUAAAUGAGCUUGUGCCCAACUCGAUGGAACACAGUUUUCUUUCUAUUAAAAUCUAUAGAGGGAAAUUGGAUUGAGAUUUCGAACACAUUAAAAGAAAAAAACCAAACUGCUAAAAUUGAGAGCAUUCAUAUAAACGAACUGACAGGUAUCACAGGAGUUCUUGAAACAUUUGAAAGCAGCCAAUUUCCUACUAUUCAUUUCACAAUCCCUUAUAUUUACAAAUUAAAAAAAGCCUGUCAGCCACAAUUGUCCGAUAGUGACCUUGUCUCCGAUAUUAAGUUAACUCUUUCCCAACAAAUAACACAAACAAUUCUUCCCUAUGUUACAAAAUUCCACAAAAUUUCUUUAUUUCUAUUUCCACCAACAAAUAAGUUGCUUCAAUUUGCUGAAAAAAAAAAAAAAAUGUUAUUCAGAAUUGCAAGGCACUGUUGGCCCGUUUUGAAUUUGAAAAUUUCGAAAUGGAAAAUAAAGAAAAUGUACCAGUACAUGAUGAUACAUUUGACGACUUCAUCGAAAUACGUAGUGACAACAACAACAGUGAUCAUAUCGAUCAAGAAAUUAAUAUGUACAUUAAUACAAACACUACAUAUUUUGAUGGAUUUAAUUGUCUGGCUUGGUGGAACGAGCAUAAAAACAUGUUCCCAAACUUGUAUAAAGCCAGCUGCAAAAUUUGUUGUAUACCAGCAACUAGCGCUGCCUCUGAAAGAGCAUUCUCAGAUGCUCGCAAUUUAAUAACAGAUAAACGUUCUGCCAUUUCGCUUAACUCAGAAAAUAUUAAUAAAAUUAUGUUUUUACACAAUAACAUUGAAAAUUAAAGAAAAAAUAUAUAUAUAUUUAUAAGAUAAGAAUAUAAUGUAUUAUCAGUUAAGUAAUAAUAAACAAUAAUAUUAAUAAACGAAUUUAGCAUCUUUUAUUGAAACUCACACACACACCACACAUACGCAGACGAGACAUUCGAAUCACCCAUUCACUUUACUCGGUCUUUACUUCAUUCGUUUCAGAAUGUGCCGUUUGAAUUGAAUGAAUUGAAGUCGGCGCGCGUUGCCGACACGAAUGUCUCAUUUGCCGGUUUGAAUGGUGUUAUGCAGCCCUCUAAUAUCUAUGAUGCCGAUUGCUGCAUUCGCGAGGCUCUCGCCUUCUUUAACGUUUUUGCUACGAUUACCACGGGAAUAUCUCCCUGGUAGUACAGCCGUAGCACACCAUCGUACAUUGCGUUCCACAGCAGCUAAUGUCCAAGCAGUUCUCCUUGCUGCCUCCGUGCCAUCUUGUGCCAUCUUGGCGAUCUCCUUGACAGUUGCUAUUGCAUCCACGGUCAAUCUCGCCUUCCUAAAGCCGAAUUGCAUUUCCAAGAGGUCCCCUGCAGCGGAGAUGGCUUCGUGCAGUCUGAGGCUGAUACAGCGCUCGAAAGUCUGUAUGAGAAUGGGUCCUCGGGAGGCUUGUUAGGCUUGGGGAGCAGUACCAGCUUCUUUCUGUCUCUUCCAGCGCUCUGGGAAGAAGCCUUCCGUGAGGCACUAGUUGAAGACGGUAGCGAAUGCUUCCGGGUGCUCGUUCAUUCCAGGCUUGACGGCGAUGUCUGGGAUUCCGUCCGGCCCUGGCGCUUUCCCCGACGGCAUGUCCUUUGCGACCUUGCGGAUUUCAUCCGGUCGGAACGCUAUCUGCGACAAGUCUUCUAGAGCCGCGUGCGCAGGUUACGGAUCCGAGGGCUGUCAUCGUGACCGCGUCGCCUUUUUCAGUGGUUUCUCCUGGCUUCACUUUUUUACCACUAUUUUGUAAGCUGACCCCCAAGGGUCCUGCUCGGUUGAAUCGCAUUGCUCCAGAAUCUUGUUGUUGGCCGUGCUGCCGCGAUCUCGUCGGUCCACCAAUAGACUGGUUCCCGGUGGCGGUGGUGACUCCUGCUUGCCUCUGCGUUCUUACCGAUGUUGGGGCUCCCAAAUUCCCUCAGGAACGCGUCCCGAUGGAGCGUCUUAGGUUGAAGUCCCUCUUCGCUGGUGGGGCUGUGGAAGAUCCUCUGCUGGUGAUGUCGCAGAUAAUCGCCUUGUGGUCACUUGCCGUGUAUACAUCGCUGACGGAAAAGCGAGCCACUGCAGAAGGAGAGCUAUUUCAUUCGUGUGGACUGAGCCCCACUUUUCUGCCCAGGCGUUGAAGGGAAAGGCGUGGUGGUAGAUAGCAGCUGUGCAGGUACAGGUCGCCAACCAGCCCCCUUACGAAGAAUGAGCCAAUGCGCAGGUUUCUUGGUCGGCUUGACCCGUUGUUCAGGAUCUCGGCGCUUCUUGUACCUUCUAGUAUGAAGUCUGCCCUGGGGGUUUUUUUAUACGGCUAGCUUAUUGGCGCUACGUCAGCUUGGACUUCGCGCAUGGUUUGGCUCAACAGGCGCUUCGCAGUGAUUGAGGUUAAUCUGAACUAUCUUCAUUUCCUCGGUGGCUUGUUGCUCAUAGGACAUCUCCUGCUGCCCGUAAUGUGCUCAGCGUCGCCUCUCCUGGCACUGGUGCAUAGGAAGCAUUUGGCCUCUUGAGUGCAGCUAGCGAUCUUGUGCCCGGUUUGCCCGCAGUCGCUGCGAUUUGCAGGGCUCUUGCAACGCGCUGCAAUAUGGCCGAGCUCAAGGCACUUGAAGCACCUGGGUCUGGAGUCGCUCUCCUUGACUGUCCAUCCCACCUUCAGCUUUCCCUUGGCAAGGACCGCUUGUGCAUCGCUGCACGGCAGGCCCACUACUGCCGUUUGGGUGUCCCUGAAGGAAGGUCAGAGGCUUUUCAGCUUUAUCGAGCUUGCCUCAACUUGGAACUGGUCCACCAAACGCCUUUGACAGGUCCUAUUUGGCGACUAGUGGGUCCAAGUCGGACAACUUAGACACAGAACAUUUGUACGAGACGAUUUUUCAAGAACUUGAAAAUAAAACAAAAAAUAAAACGUAAAAGAGAUUAAAAGUAAACAUCCCAAAAACGUUAGCGUGUCAGAUAUUUUACAGGUAGGUAGCAUAAAAACUUUUUAAAAUCGAGACCUUUGUACUUUUUAAUAAAAUUUCCGAAGCCUUUGUUAACUUGUAGAAAAAUAAGAAUAUUCCCGGUACAGCAUGAAAAUAGAAUCUUA